UGCGUAGGGUCCGAGCGUUGUCCGGAAUUAUUGGGCGUAAAGGGCUCGUAGGCGGUUCGUCACGUCGGGAGUGAAAACUCGGAGCUUAACUCCGAGCCUGCUUCCGAUACGGGCAGACUAGAGGUAGGCAGGGGAGAGCGGAACUCCUGGUGUAGCGGUGAAAUGCGCAGAUAUCAGGAAGAACACCCGUGGCGAAGGCGGCUCUCUGGGACGGUACUGACGCUGAGACGCGAAAGCGUGGGGAGCGAACAGG
rnacentral:rRNA from 1 species